rnacentral:lncRNA from 1 species
CUGUGCCUGGUGCGAUCCUAAAAUCCCCUGUCACGAGAAGAAAGAAAUCCUUGUUGCGAUUCACGGAGCUGAUGUAGGCGCAGGCCGGAGUGUCACCUUCCACGCUCCCAUCGAGGACUUUCUCGCCCUCGCCACAAUGAGCAAACGCAGUGAUCCCUUUAUGCAGCAUUGUAAUGGGCUAAAGGUGAUACUGUAGUUAAGUGAGGUCCAUGAUCUUUCAAGGGAAAGACCAAAACUACACCUUGCCAACUCACCCAAGCCCUCUCUAACCCUCAAGCAUGUGUUAGAAGGGACUUUUGGCAAGAUGACAAAGUAUCUCCUUUAGCCUACUUUGAGAGGAUUUCGGGAUUUACCUGGACGUAUUUGAGUGUGCUGCAUAUAAUAAUCAAGUGGCUGGACAUGAGAAGGUUCUGUAUGGCUCUAUCAGGAGAGGCACAGAGAAUGUUUGUUUCAUGCUGUGCACGAGAUCAGAUUGUUUGGUGGGAUGAAGCAGCGGACUCGAUUUCCAGGCUGUUGUGAUGUUCAAUUAAGAUUGCAUUAUCGAGAUUGAAAUCACAAGAACAUGGAAAGAACUGGACGUGUCUCUCAGCGUGGUGCGUGUGUCGUCCGGGAAUUAAUCUUGUGAUGUUUGCUCAAGGCGAUGCAGCCUUGAUUGUUGCAGUAGAUUGGUGUUGGGCCGGGUGUCGUUGAGGAGGCGGCAAAGCCAGAUGGCCUCUUUGCAUGCGGAACUAGCCUCCGCCUCACAGCCGGAGCAGGCAAGGACGCUCUGCUUCUUGCUGCCAACUGCAUUGUGAAGGCUAAACAAUUUAGCCAAAGCCAGCCCAGUAAGCUUGACUUGUGGCCUUAAGACCGUAAGAAAACGUAUCUCGGAAGUACCAAAAGACUCGUUUAAGUGCUUGCCAAUGUUGAGGUCCAGGAUUGUCAAGGGUUCUUGCACAAAGUGGAAUUCGAAUGGAUUAGCGCACCUUCCAUGGCGUCCAUAUCCCCUCUAUAACUAGAAAAAAAACACACUCCAACAAGCGAACGAAGCAUUUUCCUAGGCUAUGGCAUUGAACACAAGGCUUACAAGGUCUACAAUCCUGUCUCCAAGGCGCUGAUCAUCUCACCAAACGUGCAUUCCAAUGAGACUCCAUCACGUCAAGUGGGAGAAAAUCUGCCUUUGCCAGUGCUGCCCAAUACCCAAUCCGAACGACCUGCGAAUCUUCAAGACUCACUGCAGCCGCUCCUCUUUGCAGAUCUUCUCGCCAGAACAAGGGCAAGCCACCACCACGGCUGAUUGCUCGCAGCUGUACAAGACAUCCCUGAAAGUCUUGUGGAGACAUUACUUGCUGGAGUGGAACUUCUGGGAAUUCCACGCAGCUCUCAAGUCAAGGAAAAAUGGAAAGUUGCCUUUAUCAUUCCCCUUCACCUUGGUGAGACAAGCGCCUCCUGGACGCAAGCUGGGUAAAUUGAUGUGUGACUGUAAUGGGAGGGAGCGGAGGUGGGGAAGAAUGGGGAAAGGAGUGGAGGUGGAGGAUUUGGAGGAGAAUUCGCCGCCAGAUGGAAAGAGCCUUGCAUGACGUGUCAGCCACGUGGCUGUCCGCCACUUCAAUUAUCGUGGCAGCACCCGGAAGGGCCGGGAGCUGGCGUGGGCUGACCCUGGGUGAGCAUUCUCCGGGAGGUUCUUUCGAGAAGAGUGUGGAUCUUUUUAACAACAGGAAAGUGCAAUUCGGAAUUGAAAAGCUCGCCCUGCUGGCUCAUCACCGAAAACGAGCCCGGCCUGCAACAUUCGAUGUUGCCGCUGAUCAUGAUCACCAAUGCGAUGGCAAGAAGUAUCUUUCCACGAUUCAUUCCAGCCACAAAAGCACUAAACAUAGUGAUGAUAUCGUUGUAUAAGAACCAAGAGCCGUGCUUGCUCCGAUACAAUUGGAUCCAAUGGGCCUCCACUGUUUUAUAUUCACACAAACAGCACCGGGCUUGGUAAACAGUCAAGUCCUUUGCGCGUGCCAUCUGUCAAAAUAAGAAUCGUUAGCUUCCAAGCCAGAACACUAUAUGGGCAGUUUUUCAAAGUCCUGCACAAAAGACAGCUCGCCAUUUGAAGUCUAUAAGCUCUUGGUAGCAAAUUACCUGUUCCGUGUAUGUCGGAUUUCAAGGCAGCCUUGGCGCAACUUUGCGUGGGCCAAGAGCAUGACCUGACCACGCAAAUCUACAAAAGACGCUAGAUUUGCAUCAUGCAGCCAAGGAGCAACUUAGAAAUCUAUCACGAAAAAGAAAAUAAAAUCUUAGAACUUUCUAAGACAACACCCUUUCUAAGAAUGUCCUUUAGACUAGUCUGAAACCCCACCGCAUUCGCACUUUUCAAUGUUGUCCAGCGCGAACUGAGCCGGAUAAACGUGGUAGCACGGCUCCAUCGUCUCCCUCACUGAGCAAACCACGCUCUGGUCGCACACGAACUGUACGGGCCUCACGCCCGCCAGCCCCGCCGCCGAGUAGCCAAACGUGGAUGGCGGGCUCGUCACCAGGACAUCGCUCAUCGACAGCAAGUAGAUCUCCAUCACCGCCUGUGCGUCGUGAUCCAAGUUCCCCGUGUUUUGCACGCCCUCCACGCUCGGCUGGUGGAUGGACACCGAGGAACCGUCCGCUAGAUCGUAUCCCAGCACCUUGCUCUUGAGCGUCUCCGAGUACUGCGAGUUGAGUGACACCACCAGCACCGCCACCUUCUUGCUGUUCUUCCUCACCGACGAUCUGGGAGCUCGCUCCUUGGGUGGUGUUUGUGAGCGCGCCUUCCACCAGGCAGUCGAAUGUAUCCUCGGCGAGGUUGGGUGGCGAGAACCAGAUGUGGUUUCGCAGCUGGACCCCGACUAGAAGCUCGGCCUGCCUGGGCCACGUACGCGUCGUAGUACCUGGCCGCCUUGUCCCACACGAAGUCACUGGGAAGCAACAGGUACCUCACCAGGAGAUGGAAGAUGGCCUCCUGCUGUGGGAACCAUUCCUCGAGCUUGCUCCCUGAAAGCCGGGACAUUGUAGAGCGCCGGAGUGAUGUACUGGCCGGAGGAGAGGACGAUCCACCGCGCGCUGGAGUUGAGAGCUUGCUGUUGAUCUUGGCAGAAGAAGGCCUUGUCCUGGUCCCUGUAGUUGUAAUCGAGAUAGGCCACCACCACCUCGGGGAAGCUCACGUCGACGCCGCGGCUGCAGUUGGGCGAUCCCGCCAGGCUUCCAAUCCACUUGGAGGCGUCCCACGGCGCCAACUCGAGGUGCUUCCAGCUCGACGGCAGCAGCCAGGAGCUGGGUGGAAACGGCUCGCAGAAGAGCGUGUCCAGGUUCUCCAACCUCGCGAUCAGCAUCGUCCUGUCGGUGAGCAGCGCGUAGAGAAACGCUGCUACUGUAGCCACCAUCUUGUUGCCGAUCCCCUGGUUGGCGGGAACGUAGACGAGGUAGCUGCAUGUACUAUAGUUCGCGCACUGCUCGGGCCCCGGAGCGCACCUCCCGUGCAAAGCCUCGUACUCUAGGAUUUUCCGUUGGAGCGACUCGGAUGGCUCGAAGCUCGCCGAUCUUCGGCGGCUGUAGAAGUCGUACUCGUUCCUACUCCUGCAAGAGUCGCUGCCGUUGUAGCUUGUGGUGUUGUUGCUGAUGCGGAAGUUUGAUCCCAGAGUUCGGCUCCGGGACAUCAUUGCGGAGUCGGAAUUUACGUCGAGAAUCCAUACGAGUAGCAGUGCCGCAGCGGAGAAGAGGAGCACGAAGAACAGCAAGCUCGGGCUGUAAGUUUUCAUCCUCCGAUCCUGGAAAGUUUUUCUUCGCCGCCUACCGAACUCCAAAGCCUCAAUGCAAAAAAUUCCUCUUAGUUGGUGAUGGUGAUUACCAACCUGGAGAUCAGAAAGAAUUAAGAUUUGAGCAACUAAGAAACAAUUCCGUGGCUCACCAUGUGGACGGGACACGUGACCAAAUACUCGAGACAAAGAAGGAAGUCACGGCUCCAGCCAAUUGGCUUGUCGCCACCUUCCUCACCAUCUUUCUGGUGGAGUCUCACGGUACUGGGAUGAGAGUGGUAUCCAAGGAUCCUCCACAUGAGCUUGCCUGGAGCUGUCCUUCAAACUGUUCUCCGUGAGCUCUUUGUUGCUAUUCGACCGUAACAGGGUUUCCACCACUUAGUCCUUCAGAACCAUCCCCUUCAACCGGUUCUCCGAGAGAUCCGAGCAAACUCAAAGAGUCUGCCCAAGCUGAGAGACAUGAUAGGGCCCACACGAGCUCCUCCCAAACGUUGUUCGAGCACUUCCAAGCCCGCACACCCAUUUGGAUGGCUGAGAGAUGUAGAGCCGAGAAUGACAUUCCGGAGAUUGCUGCUGGACGGGGGAGUGAGACUGUUGAAGAGCUCCUGGAGAGCCACGCAGUUGCGAAAGAUCCCAUCGUGCCAAAGGCCUAGCAGCUCGAUGUACCCCCGAGAAGGACGAGCCAGAGAUCAUGUUGCCGGCUCGUGAUCGUCCAGCUGAACUGAUUCCCUGACAUGUCUAACACCCUGAGCAGUUCCCUCUAAACAGAAGAGAUACCUGUCCUGUCCGGAGUUCAAUCUCCAGUGAGGCUAGAACUUCCACGCUGUGAAGCUUCUGAUGGAACAAAACCUUGAUUUCUUAAAGGAAGAUUCAGCAGCAGCUACGUGCGAUUUAAACCAGUUUCUAAUGAAGGCUAGACACCAAAGACACGAAGAUGAGCCGUUUGAAUAAAAUCAAAAAGGUGUCAUACCUCAAUUAGCGUAAGAACCGGAAAUACCGCGGCCUGAGCAAUUUACACUGGCCUCCGCAAAAACUGCUUGAAAAGUUUACCCUUCGCGACUCAAAUAUCACGUCACAAACGCCACAACAGCUUUCCACCGCUCCAAUUCAUUCUCGCCUUUGCAGCCCCCCUAGCAAACGGGCUGUCCAAACGCUCGGCCUACGUCCCAGCUACAUGCCUGUAAAGUGAAGAGAAUAUUAGCAAUCUUAACAGCGAGAGUUCACCUUGAAGUUGACUUGGUCAGAUUUUUUAAGAACUUCGAUUAUGUCGUUGUUGAAGAGAUUGUCAAAAAGGCCAUCAGUUCCCAAAACAAUGAUGUCCCCCUUGCAGACAGGGAUCUUGAAUUCCUGUAAACGGAAAAUUAGCGAAGUUAAGGGAAAAGCAAGAGUACCUCUGCAACCGUCGGAUGGUCACCAAAUGUUCCAACUUGAAACGGAAAGUUAAAACUAUGCUGCAUGGGCUCCGAGCUUGCAACUACUUGCCAAUUGCGAACUAUGAUGAACCCAAGUCUCCCAAGUUUGCUGCGUACAUGUCUGAAAUAUAUGACCCGACUCAGCCUCAAACAUCAAAUCCGACUAGCUUACUUGCUCAAACAAUGCAGCCACAAGGACCGUUGCUGAUCCCUGGGCCUUUGUACUGCCGGCGGCUUUGACAAGCACGUCCUUGGGGUCCGGUUUCCCUUUGCUGUUUACAACCAAUGCCUUACAGUGUCCCAUAAGCUCCCGAGAAUACAUCCCCGAAUCAAUGCCUGAAAACCAGUAAAAACUCUUUUGAAGAAACAGACUCAAAGAAAGAUUUGUCUUACCUUCUCCGGCCCAGCCCCCAGAACCAUCAGCAACACCCAUCCAGGAGCCUUCUGUGACGAAGGCAUCUUCACCCCCUCUUUGAGCCUGUAAACAGCAAAGCUUAGAAGAUCUACAAAAAUUAGCAAGUAAGCUUUGCACCUUCUCAGGAUGGGGACGCAUCGCCGCAGCAUAGUCGAGUCGAAGCAACCUUAAAAGCAAGAACACCAUGAAUUUCACCAAUAGCCACGCGAAACGUAAACAAGCUCACUGGCUGGUAGAAUCCGUUUCAGCAUUCUGGCACCCUUGCAAGCUUAAGACUUCAGUAUAUAGAGAAGGAAAGAAAAAUUGCAAACCUCUUCGCCAUUUUUGCAAGCCGAGUUGUGUGUCUUGGCCGGUUGUGGGAGGGAAACAGCCGAUUCAUCGAAAGUAACAUGCGUUGUCUCUUCGGGCGCUUCAAGAGAUAGAGAGAUCAGCAACACGUCACCAAAAAUUCCAAGCUACAUUCUUACCUCGCGUACUUAAAGAAGGAGAGGACGUUGCUCGUUGUGAGCCAUGAUCUGCGGUAAACUUGCGUGAUUAGUGCUUGGAUCUUAUUUUCUUUCCUCGCAGAGAGUUGAUUCCACUGGUGGACAAGGCAUGGGUUAUGGAUAUGGGUGGGACUUUGGUUGAGCAGCUAAAUUCUACUCUCUAGUUCGUGGAAUGUUACUCUUAAGAUAAAACUAUACACUGACCGAUCAAACCAGUGAGACUGGCUGGGCAAUUAAACGUUUUUAACAUUGCAACGGACUUCGCAGGCUCAACUAACAACAGCGGAAGGGCUCCUGGAACCAGGCAGCAGCGGAGGACAUCCACAUGACUAAUGGCGCCUCCCAACUCUACAUUGUUAACAGCACUACACAAUUGGGCACCAUAGAUGGAACAGGAGUAGUACAAACGAUUACAUUUUGGUCAGCCAAACUAUUCUUUAAUAAUGUGGUGUACUGUUUAGAUGGCGGGGAAUUCCAAGAGUUCUUGACCGCCUCAUGUCUGACUAGGAUGCAUAUGCUGCUUACAACACUCCUAUCAACAACCAGAACUCACUGUGGUCACGACUAAGUCAUGCCAGCAUGGGUGCCCGACUUUGCCCAACAAGUCCAAGAGCUUUAGAAUGCACUGCCCACGACCACUGAUACUGAGGUCAGCUGACUGAUUGACAUGCUCACACAGCAGCACAGGAGUAUUUUCUCAGUUCACUCCCACCACCCCAACUGAAUGCUUUCCUAGAUUGCAAUGGUGGGACAAAUUAUAAAACUUUUUAAUAUCAUAAGUUUAUUGCAUUAAACUAAUUAAUAAAGUGGCAGCAAUAAACAUUCUAUUUUGCCCAUGACAAUGAUGCAAGCAAUAAUCACAAUGACUAUAACUAUGUAUGUCUCAUGACUAUGUGAGCAACUAUCCUUUUACACAGUUGUCUGCAAAAUUGAUAACCUACAUAGACGUACCUUUGGUCGAUAUACCCAUAGUUUAUUUGUAUCAGCAAUGGACCUACACAAUCCAUAAUAAUUCCGUUAAAACUCCACACAUAAAAAGUCUCUGGUAGAAGAACAAAGCAAUUUAGUGUCAAGUUUUUAAAACCGUGUAAAACUCGAGUUUCAUUCUGACCAUCAAAACCAAGGUCGUCAUCAUCUACACACAUAAAAGAUGAAUUUGACAGCUCUAGACAAGCCCGGUAAAAGAAAACUUCUGAGACGACUUGGCAGCAAACAAAUCAGAUUGUGUUACGCGGACAGCAAGAGUAAAAAAUGAAAUAGAAGGGAAGAAAAGACCGUGUACCUAAAAUCGUGCACGAUUCACGACGAAGUCAUCCAAAGGACCUCGCCUUCCCUCCUCCGGCUAUAAAAUGCCUGCCCCUCCCUCAUAUAGCUCCAUCAGUCUUUUCCAAGCUCGCAAGAUGGCUCAUCUUCGUUUUGUUCUAUCCUUCCUCCUAGCAAUCAGCUCCAUCUUGUUUGUGCAUGCCGCGGAUGAAGAUAUGCUGCAGGACUUUUGCGUUGCGGACAAUGGCUCCAAGAUCAAAGUGAACGGCGUGGUCUGCAAGGCGGCCGCCGAUGUGAAAGCCGAGGACUUCAAGUCGAGCCUGCUGGCGACUCCCGGGAACACCGACAACAAGCUCGGCUCCAACGUCACGCUGGCGAGUGUCAACAAUUUCCCCGGUCUCAACACCUUUGGUGUAGCUUUUGCCCGCGUCGACUAUGCUCCCGGCGGCACCAAUCCCCCCCACGUCCAUCCCCGAGGAUCCGAGCUGCUCUUCCUCGUGCACGGGAACCUCUUAGUCGGAUUCGUCACCACCUUGCCGGACAACAAGCUCUUCGCCCAAAUGCUCUAUCCUGGAGAUCUGUUCGUCUUCCCUCGGGGACUCGUCCACUUUCAGCUUAACGUUGGAAAGGAGCCUGCGGUUGCGAUGGCUGGCUUCAACAGCCAAAACCCCGGGGCGACUCAGGUGGCCAAGGCGGUGUUUGAUUCCAAUCCUCCAAUCAACGACGACGUGAUCGCGAAAGCGUUCCAGAUUGACGACCGUGGUCUCAUCCAGAAGUUGAGAGAGCUCAUCGGCAUGACUUGAAAGUUUCUCCAAAGGUUGCGAGGCUGACUUGACUAAGUUACAUAUAUAAAUAAAUUAUUUUUCCAAAGCUCUUACCUUUCGAUAGUGGAAACUUUCAUAAGCACAGCUAGAUAGAAUAAAAAACAAACACAUCGCUUUCCCGCCAAUUUCCAUUUUAAACACGCUCCUGGAGCGAUUUGCCAGGACAUACGUCGAUCCAAUGCCCGAAAUAUAUCGUAAUGCGAUCGGCAAGAUGCCACCAAAACCCUACAAACCAGAGCAUCCGGCACAAACGGCAUGGCACGCAGCAAUUCCUCGGCAUUCUCCAGUUUCCUGCCACGGCCGAAGAUAUCGAUCAUGCAGACCCUGCCUGGCGCGAUCAUAAAAUCCCCUGUCACGAGAAGAAAGAAAUCCUUGUUGCGAUUCACGGAGCUGAUGUAGGCGCAGGCCGGAGUGUCACCUUUCCCAUUGCGCCCUCGCCACAAUGAGCAAACGCAGUGAUCCCUUUAUGCAGCAUUGUAAUGGGCUAAAGGUGACACUGUAGUGAAGUGAGGUCCAUGAUCUUUCAAGGGAAAGACCAAAACUACACCUUGCCAACUCACCCGAGCCCUCUCUAACCCUCAAGCAUGUGUUAGAAGGGGCUUUUGGCAAGAUGAGAAAGUAUCUCCUUUAGCCUACUUUGAGAGGAUUUCGAGAUUUACCUGGUAUUUGAGUGUGCUGCAUAUAAUAAUCAAGUGGCUGGACAUGAGAAGGUUCUGUAUGGCUCUAUCAGGAGAGGCACAGAGAAUGUUCGUUUCAUGCUGUGCACGAGAUCAGAUUGUUUGGUGGGAUGAAGCAGUGGACUCGAUUUCCAGGCUGUUGUGAUGUUCAAUUAAGAUUGUAUUAUCGAGAUUGGAAUCACAAGAACAUGGAAAGAACUGGACGUGUCUCCCAGCGUGGUGCGUGUUUCGUCCGGGAAUUAAUCUUGUGAUGUUUGCUCGAGGCGAUGUAGAGUAGAUUGGUGUUGGGCCGGGUGUCGUUGAGGAGGCGGCAAAGCCAGAUGGCCUCUUUGCAUGCGGAACUAGCCUCCGCCUCACAGCUGGAGCAGGCAACGACGCUCUUCUUCUUGCUGCUAACUGCAUUGUGAAGGCUAAACAAUUUAGCCAAAGCCAGCCCAGUAAGCUUGACUCGUGGCCUUAAGACCGUAAGAAAACGUAUCUCGGAAGGACCAAAAGACGCGUUUAAGUGCUUGCCAAUGUUGAGGUCCAGGAUUGUCAAGGGUUCUUGCACAAAGUGGAAUUCGAAUGGAUUAGCGCACCUUCAUGGCGUCCAUAUCCCCUCUAUAACUAGAAAAAAAACACACUCCAACAAGCGAACGAGGCACUUUCCUAGGCUAUGGCAUUGAACACAAGGCUUACAAGGUCUACAAUCCUGUCUCCAAGGCGCUGAUCAUCUCACCAGACGUGCAUUCCAAUGAGACUCCAUCACGUCAAGUGGGACAAAAUCUGCCUUUGCCAGUGCUGCCCAAUGCCCAAUCCGAACGACCUGCGAAUCUUCAAGACUCACUGCAGCCGCUCCUCUUUGCAGAUCUUCUCGCCAGAACAAGGGCAAGCCACCACCACGGCUGAUUGCUCGCAGCUGUACAAGACAUCCCUGAAAGUCUUGUGGAGACUUUACUUGUUGGAGUGGAACUCCUGGGAAUUCCACGCAGCUCUCAAGUCAAGGAAAAAUGAAAAGUUGCCUUUAUCAUUCCCCUUCACCUUGGUGAGACAAGCGCCUCAUGGACGCAAGCUGGGUAAAUUGAAGGGAGCGGAGGUGGGGAAGAAUGGGGAAAGGAGUGGAGGCGGAGGAUUUGGAGGAGAAUUUGCCCCCAGAUGGUGUCCCCAGAGUGACGUGUCAGCCACGUGGCUGUCCGCCCCUUCAAUUAGCCAAAUAAUGGUGGUAUUGAAAUGACAAAAUCGUUUUAGGAAAAUGCUAUGGUUGGUGGCGGCAGCACCCGGAAGGGCCGGAGGAUGGCGUGGGCUGACCCUGGGGGAGCAUUCUCCGGAAGGUCCUUUCGAAAAGAGUGUGGAUCUUGUUAACAACAGGAAGGCGCAAUUCGGAAUUGAAAAGCUCGGCCUGCUGGCUCAUCGCCGAAAACGAGCCCGGCCUGGAACAAUCGAUGUUGCUGCUGAUCAUGAUCACCAAUGCGAUGGCAAGAAGUAUCCUUCCACGAUCCAUUCCAGCCACAAAGCACUAAACGUAGUGAUGAUAUCGUUGUAUAAGAACCAAGAGCUGUGCUUGCUCCGAUACGAUUGGAUCCAAUGGGCCUCCAGUGUUUUAUAUUCAC